GAUGAACGCUGGCGGCGUGCCUAAUACAUGCAAGUCGAGCGAACAGACGAGGAGCUUGCUCCUCUGACGUUAGCCGCGCACGGGAGAGUCACACGUGGAUAACCUACCUAUAAGACUGGGAUCACUUCGGGAAACCGGAGCUAAUACCGGAUAAUAAAUUGAACCGCAUGGUUUAAUAGUGAAAGACGGUUUUGCUGCCACUUAUAGAUGGAUCCGUGCCUCAUUAGCUAGUUGGUAAGGUAACGGCUUACCAAGGCAACGAUGCGUAGCCGACCUGAGAGGGUGAUCGGCCACACUGGAACUGAGACACGGCCCAGACUCCUACGGGAGGCAGCAGUGGGGAAUCUUCCGCAAUGGGCGAAAGCCUGACGGAGCAACGCCGCGUGAGGGAUGAAGGUCUUCGGAUCGUAAAAUUCUGUUAUUAGGAAAGAACAGAUGUGUAAGUAAAUAUGCACGUCUUGACGGUACCUAAUCAGAAAGCCACGGCUAACUACGUG
rnacentral:rRNA from 1 species